GCUGGGUGUAGUGGCACAUGCCUGUAGUCCUAGCCACUCUGGUGGCUGCAGAGGGAGUGGUGUAUGAGCCCAGGAGUUCCGAGCUGUUCUGUACUAUGCCAGUAGGGUAUUCACCCUAACUAUGGCAUCAAUAUGAUGACCUUCCUGGAGCAGGGGACUAUAAGUUUCCAAAAGUGGGAUGAAGCACCCCAGAUUGGAAACAGAGCAGGUCAAAACUCCCAUGCUAAUCAACUGUGGAAUUAUGCCUGUGAAUAGCCACUGCACUCAGUCUGGGUGACACGGUGAGACCCUACAUCUU
ensembl:misc_RNA Metazoa_SRP Metazoan signal recognition particle RNA